GCGUUAGUGGUGGAACGGUAGACACGCUACCUUGAGGGGGUAGUGCCCUACGGGCGUGGAGGUUCAAAUCCUCUCUAACGCACCA
rnacentral:tRNA from 1 species